AAUGACUGAGUAGUGACUGUGUAUAUGAAGUUUACUGUGUAUAUGAAGGUUACUGUGUAUAAGAUGUCGGUAAUUAGAAGAAAACCCUAAUUACUGUUGUUUGUCGAUAAUUAGGACAAACCCUAAUUAUUACAACCCUAAUCGGUUGAAGUUAGAGAUCGUAAUGACUGUGUUAGAACAUACACAGAUAAUUAGAGAACCCUAAUGGUCAAUUAGAAACCCUAAUUGAUGGCGUUAAGAAACCCUAAUUAGAAAACCCUAAUUUUUCAAUCAAAACCCUAAUUUAAAAUUAUUGGGUUUAAUUACGAUAUUAUUGUAUAAAUGUUUUAAUUUACCAAAGGAUAGAAAGUAAUUGGUAAAUGAUAAGAAUUACCAUCUAGUGAUUAAAUACUACAUUUAAUUGCUAUGUACAAAAAUGCCCAUAAAAUUAUAUGUGAAAUUACCAAAAU
rnacentral:lncRNA from 1 species